ACGACGCUGGCGGCGUGCCUAACACAUGCAAGUCGAGCGGAGACAGUGAGUAGCUUGCUACGAACUGUUUUAGCGGCGGACGGGUGAGUAACGCGUGAGCAACCUUUCCCAGACAGGGGAAUAACACACCGAAAGGUGUACUAAUACCGCAUAAGACCACGGGAUCACAUGAUUCUGAGGUAAAAGAUUUAUCGGUAUGAGAUGGACCCGCGUCUGAUUAGCUGGUUGGUGAGGUAACGGCCCACCAAGGCGACGAUCAGUAGCCGACCUGAGAGGGUGACCGGCCACAUUGGGACUGAGACACGGCCCAGACUCCUACGGGAGGCAGCAGUGGGGAAUAUUGCACAAUGGAGGAAACCCUGAUGCAGCGACGCCGCGUGAGUGAAGAAGUAUUUCGGUAUGUAAAACUCUAUCAGCAGGGAAGAUAAUGACGGUACCUGACUAAGAAGCACCGGCUAAAUACGUG
rnacentral:rRNA from 1 species